AAAAAUAAUAAAAACAAAACAGAAGAAAAAUUUCCCAGCCCUCACUCAUGCAGCCCCCUUUCUACUCUCUGCCCGGGCCAGCGUUGGUCACACACAAAAAACAAAAAAAAAAAAGCAAAACAAAAUCCCUUCUGCACCCCCUGCUCUCUUCUGCAGCGCACCCCCCGCUUUCACUCUUCACCACCCCUUUUCAUAUGGGCUUGGACCCAAUCUGCAAUUAAACAGGAAAUCCUUUCUACACCCCCUAUGUUUCCAUUCCGCAACCCUCGCUCCUUGGGCUCAGGCCUAGUUCGUUUUUUUUAAAAGCAAAAAGGUUUAGACACCCUUUUGUUUUCCAUUUUCACACCCCAUUUUCUCAUUUAGGCACCCUCGUACCUUUUCCUUUUUCUUUUAAUCUAUUUUUUUUAUUUUUUAUUUUAUUAUUUAUUCAACUUUUUAUUUCAUUUCUACUUUCUAUUUUCUUUUAUUUACUUAUUUAUUUUAUCUUUCCGUUUCAAAUAUUUACCUAUUAAAAUAAAAAAUCAAUAAAUAACAAAA
rnacentral:lncRNA from 1 species